rnacentral:rRNA from 1 species
UUAAGUUAAUAAGGGCGCACGGUGGAUGCCUUGGCACUAGGAGCCGACGAAGGACGUGACAAACGACGAUAUGCCUUGGGUAGCUGUAAGUAAGCGAUGAUCCAGGGAUUUCCGAAUGGGGGAACCCAACAGGUAGUACCUGUUACCCACAUCUGUUAAGGAUGUGAGGAGGAAGACGCAGUGAACUGAAACAUCUAAGUAGCUGCAGGAAGAGAAAGCAAAAGCGAUUGCCUUAGUAGCGGCGAGCGAAACGGCAGNUAGCAGUAUCCUGAGUACGGCGGGACACGUGAAAUCCCGUCGGAAUCUGGGAGGACCAUCUCCCAACCCUAAAUACUCCCUAGUGACCGAUAGUGAACCAGUACCGUGAGGGAAAGGUGAAAAGCACCCCGGGAGGGGAGUGAAAUAGAACCUGAAACCGUGUGCCUACAACAAGUUCGAGCCCGUUAAUGGGUGAGAGCGUGCCUUUUGUAGAAUGAACCGGCGAGUUACGUUAUGAUGCGAGGUUAAGUUGAAGAGACGGAGCCGUAGGGAAACCGAGUCUGAAUAGGGCGCCUUAGUAUCAUGACGUAGACCCGAAACCAUGUGACCUACCCAUGAGCAGGUUGAAGGUGCGGUAAGACGCACUGGAGGACCGAACCAGGGCACGUUGAAAAGUGCUUGGAUGACUUGUGGGUAGCGGAGAAAUUCCAAACGAACUUGGAGAUAGCUGGUUCUCUCCGAAAUAGCUUUAGGGCUAGCGUCGACAUUAGAGAUUCUUGGAGGUAGAGCACUGUUUGGGUGAGGGGUCCAUCCCGGAUUACCAAUCUCAGAUAAACUCCGAAUGCCAAUGAAUUAUGGUCGGCAGUCAGACUGCGAGUGCUAAGAUCCGUAGUCGAAAGGGAAACAGCCCAGACCACCAGCUAAGGUCCCAAAAUAAUUGUUAAGUGGAAAAGGAUGUGGGGUUGCACAGACAACUAGGAUGUUAGCUUAGAAGCAGCUAUUCAUUCAAAGAGUGCGUAAUAGCUCACUAGUCGAGUGACCCUGCGCCGAAAAUGUACCGGGGCUAAAACAAUUUACCGAAGCUGUGGAUACCUUUAUAGGUAUGGUAGGAGAGCGUUCUAUGUGUGAUGAAGGUAUACCGUGAGGAGUGCUGGAACGCAUAGAAGUGAGAAUGCCGGUAUGAGUAGCGAAAGACAGGUGAGAAUCCUGUCCACCGUAAGACUAAGGUUUCCAGGGGAAGGCUCGUCCGCCCUGGGUUAGUCGGGACCUAAGGAGAGACCGAAAGGUGUAUCCGAUGGACAACAGGUUGAUAUUCCUGUACUAGAGUAUGUAGUGAUGGAGGGACGCAGUAGGCUAACUAAAGCAGACGAUUGGAAGAGUCUGUCUAAGCAGUGAGGUGUGAAUUGAGUCAAAUGCUUAAUUCUAUAACAUUGAGCUGUGAUGGGGAGCGAAGUUUAGUAGCGAAGUUAGUGACGUCACACUGCCAAGAAAAGCUUCUAGCGUUUAAACAUACUCUACCCGUACCGCAAACCGACACAGGUAGUCGAGGCGAGUAGCCUCAGGUGAGCGAGAGAACUCUCGUUAAGGAACUCGGCAAAAUGACCCCGUAACUUCGGGAGAAGGGGUGCUGACUUAAAGUCAGCCGCAGUGAAUAGGCCCAAGCAACUGUUUAUCAAAAACACAGCUCUCUGCUAAAUCGUAAGAUGAUGUAUAGGGGGUGACGCCUGCCCGGUGCUGGAAGGUUAAGAGGAGUGCUUAGCGUAAGCGAAGGUAUGAAUUGAAGCCCCAGUAAACGGCGGCCGUAACUAUAACGGUCCUAAGGUAGCGAAAUUCCUUGUCGGGUAAGUUCCGACCCGCACGAAAGGCGUAAUGAUUUGGGCACUGUCUCAACGAGAGACUCGGUGAAAUUUUAGUACCUGUGAAGAUGCAGGUUACCCGCGACAGGACGGAAAGACCCCAUGGAGCUUUACUGCAGUUUGAUAUUGAGUGUCUGUACCACAUGUACAGGAUAGGUAGGAGUCUAAGAGAUCGGGACGCCAGUUUCGAAGGAGACGCUGUUGGGAUACUACCCUUGUGUUAUGGCCACUCUAACCCAGAUAGGUGAUCCCUAUCGGAGACAGUGUCUGACGGGCAGUUUGACUGGGGCGGUCGCCUCCUAAAAGGUAACGGAGGCGCCCAAAGGUUCCCUCAGAAUGGUUGGAAAUCAUUCGCAGAGUGUAAAGGUAUAAGGGAGCUUGACUGCGAGAGCUACAACUCGAGCAGGGACGAAAGUCGGGCUUAGUGAUCCGGUGGUUCCGUAUGGAAGGGCCAUCGCUCAACGGAUAAAAGCUACCCUGGGGAUAACAGGCUUAUCUCCCCCAAGAGUUCACAUCGACGGGGAGGUUUGGCACCUCGAUGUCGGCUCGUCGCAUCCUGGGGCUGUAGUCGGUCCCAAGGGUUGGGCUGUUCGCCCAUUAAAGCGGCACGCGAGCUGGGUUCAGAACGUCGUGAGACAGUUCGGUCCCUAUCCGUCGCGGGCGUAGGAAAUUUGAGAGGAUCUGCUCCUAGUACGAGAGGACCAGAGUGGACUUACCGCUGGUGUACCAGUUGUCUUGCCAAAGGCAUCGCUGGGUAGCUAUGUAGGGAAGGGAUAAACGCUGAAAGCAUCUAAGUGUGAAACCCACCUCAAGAUGAGAUUUCCCAUGAUUAUAUAUCAGUAAGAGCCCUGAGAGAUGAUCAGGUAGAUAGGUUAGAAGUGGAAGUGUGGCGACACAUGUAGCGGACUAAUACUAAUAGCUCGAGGACUUAUCCAA